rnacentral:lncRNA from 1 species
UAUUAUGAUAUUUUAAAAAUAUAUGUAAAAGAAUUUAUGGUUUAGAAUUUAAAAUCUUUUUGCAUAUAUUGUUUUGAUACGCAAACAAACGCCGUUCCCCAUAGAAAUAUUUGUCCGUAGCUUAGUUUCCAACUCACUGAUAUCGAUAAGGGAAAACUUCAAAAACCCUGUUGUAGUUUCGUAGUUUCUCACUUUGUCCCCCUAUGAUUUAAAAUGUAUCAAAUUGCUCCCCUGUGGUUUCGUUUUUAUUUUUUCAAUAACUUUUUCGUUAAUAUUUUAUUAAAUUAUAUACAAAAAACUUCAGAUAUUCACCUAGAUUUAUCAAAUAUUUAUUUUAGUACUCUUUAAUUUUAACUUUAUUACUGAUUUAAAAAAAUAAUAAUAAAAUUAAUAAAAAAAAAAAGUAUAAAAAAAUAAAUUGAUACAUUUUAAAUCACAGGAGCAAAAUAAAAAACUUCAAAACCACAUAGCAGGUUUUUUAAGUU